rnacentral:rRNA from 1 species
CCUACGGGAGGCUGCAGUGAGGAAUAUUGGUCAAUGGACGAGAGUCUGAACCAGCCAAGUAGCGUGAAGGAUGACUGCCCUAUGGGUUGUAAACUUCUUUUAUAUGGGAAUAAAACAGGGUAUGCAUACCCUCUUGUAUGUACCAUAUGAAUAAGGAUCGGCUAACUCCGUGCCAGCAGCCGCGGUAAUACGGAGGAUCCGAGCGUUAUCCGGAUUUAUUGGGGUUAAAGGGAGCGUAGGUGGAUUGUUAAGUCAGUUGUGAAAGUUUGCGGCUCAACCGUAAAAUUGCAGUUGAAACUGGCAGUCGUGAGUACAGUAGAGGUGGGCGGAAUUCGUGGUGUAGCGGUGAAAUGCUUAGAUAUCACGAAGAACUCCGAUUGCGAAGGCAGCUCACUGGACUGCAACUGACACUGAUGCUCGAAAGUGUGGGUAUCAAACAGGAUUAGAUACCCGGGUAGUC